CGGGGCGUAGCGCAGUUGGUAGCGCGCAUGGUUCGGGACCAUGAAGUCGCUGGUUCGAGUCCAGUCGCCCCGACC
rnacentral:tRNA from 1 species